AACGAACGCUGGCGGCAGGCCUAAAACAUGCAAGUCGAACGAACCUUCGGGUUAGUGGCGCACGGGUGAGUAACACGUGGGAAUGUGCCUCCGGGUGCGGAACAACGUCGGGAAACUGACGCUAAUACCGCAUAAUGUCUACGGACCAAAGAUUUAUUGCCCAGAGAUCAGCCCGCGUCUGAUUAGCUAGUUGGUGAGGUAAUGGCUCACCAAGGCGACGAUCAGUAGCUGGUCUGAGAGGAUGAUCAGCCACACUGGAACUGAGACACGGUCCAGACUCCUACGGGAGGCAGCAGUUAGGAAUAUUGGACAAUGGGGGCAACCCUGAUCCAGCCAUGCCGAGUGUGUGAAGAAGGCCUUAGGGUUGUAAAGCACUUUCGGCUGUGAAGAUAAUGACAGUAGCAGAAGAAGAAGCUCCGGCUAAAUUCGUGCCAGCAGCCGCCGUAA
rnacentral:rRNA from 1 species